GACGAACGCUGGCGGCGCGCCUAACACAUGCAAGUCGAACGAGCGAGAGGAGGUUUACUUUCUCAAGCGAGUGGCGAACGGGUGAGUAACGCGUGAGGAACCUGCCUCAAAGAGGGGGACAACAGUUGGAAACGACUGCUAAUACCGCAUAAGCCCACGACCCGGCAUCGGGUAGAGGGAAAAGGAGCAAUCCGCUUUGAGAUGGCCUCGCGUCCGAUUAGCUAGUUGGUGAGGUAACGGCCCACCAAGGCGACGAUCGGUAGCCGGACUGAGAGGUUGAACGGCCACAUUGGGACUGAGACACGGCCCAGACUCCUACGGGAGGCAGCAGUGGGGAAUAUUGCACAAUGGGGGAAACCCUGAUGCAGCGACGCCGCGUGGAGGAAGAAGGUCUUCGGAUUGUAAACUCCUGUUGUUGAGGAAGAUAAUGACGGUACUCAACAAGGAAGUGACGGCUAACUACGUGCCAGCAGCCGCGGUAAAACGUAGGUCACAAGCGUUGUCCGGAAUUACUGGGUGUAAAGGGAGCGCAGGCGGGAAGACAAGUUGGAAGUGAAAUCCAUGGGCUCAACCCAUGAACUGCUUUCAAAACUGUUUUUCUUGAGUAGUGCAGAGGUAGGCGGAAUUCCCGGUGUAGCGGUGGAAUGCGUAGAUAUCGGGAGGAACACCAGUGGCGAAGGCGGCCUACUGGGCACCAACUGACGCUGAGGCUCGAAAGUGUGGGUAGCAAACAGGAUUAGAUACCCUGGUAGUCCACACUGUAAACG
rnacentral:rRNA from 1 species